AUUGAACGCUGGCGGCAGGCCUAACACAUGCAAGUCGAGCGGAUGACGGGAGCUUGCUCCUUGAUUCAGCGGCGGACGGGUGAGCAAUGCCUAGGAAUCUGCCUGGUAGUGGGGGACAACGUUUCGAAAGGAACGCUAAUACCGCAUACGUCCUACGGGAGAAAGCAGGGGACCUUCGGGCCUUGCGCUAUCAGAUGAGCCUAGGUCGGAUUAGCUAGUAGGUGAGGUAAUGGCUCACCUAGGCGACGAUCCGCAACUGGUCUGAGAGGAUGAUCAGUCACACUGGGACCGAGACACGGUCCAGACUCCUACGGGAGGCAGCAGUGGGGAAUAUUGGACAAUGGGCGAAAGCCUGAUCCAGCCAUGCCGCGUGUGUGAAGAAGGUCUUCGGAUUGUAAAGCACUUUAAGUUGGGAGGAAGGGCAGUAAGUUAAUACCUUGCUGUUUUGACGUUACCGACAGAAUAAGCACCGGCUAACUCUGUGCCAGCAGCCGCGGUAAGAC
rnacentral:rRNA from 1 species